rnacentral:misc_RNA from 1 species
GAUGAAGAACGUAGCGAAAUGCGAUAAGUAGUGUGAAUUGCAGAAUUCAGUGAAUCAUCGAAUCUUUGAACGCACAUUGCGCCCCUUGGUAUUCCAUGGGGCAUGCCUGUUCGAGCGUCAUUUGUACCUUCAAGCUCUGCUUGGUGUUGGGUGUUUGUCUCGCCUCUGCGCGCAGACUCGCCUCAAAACGAUUGGCAGCCGGCGUAUUGAUUUCGGAGCGCAGUACAUCUCGCGCUUUGACAACAAAGCGACGACGUCCAAAAAGUACAUUUUUUACACUCUUGACCUCGGAUCAGGUAGGGAUACCCGCUGAACUUAAGCAUAUCAAUAAGCGGAGGA